rnacentral:rRNA from 1 species
CGACAGCGGGAAGCCAGGUGGUGACACCGAGCAGAACCCGAAAGCCGUUCUCAGUUCGGAUCGGAGUCUGCAACCCGACUCCGUGAAGCUGGAUUCGCUAGUAAUCGCGCAUCAGCCAUGGCGCGGUGAAUACGUUCCCGGGCCUUGUACACACCGCCCGUCAAGCCAUGGAAGCCGGGGGCGCUUGAAGUGCGUUGCCGCAAGGCGCGCCCUAGAGCGAAACCGGUGACUGGGGCUAAGUCGUAACAAGGUAGC